GACAGGAACUGUGUGAGAGUAGAGAAGUCUAGCGUAGCACCAAGCGUGCAUACGUUCACCCUCGCUCCGCUCUCGGAUGUGAUAUGACUAGUUUCUUUGAAUUCCUGCCUUGACUUCCCUACAAGGAUGAACGACAACUGUAAUCCAGUUUUCCCUUUUGGAAUGUAUCACACAGAAUGUGGCUUGAAUAAAGCAUGAGCUCCGCAGCCAGCCAGCCCUGCCUGAGAUCUACUGUGCUUGGAGGAAUGUUAGAGGAUCUCCCUGUGCUGCAUCCAGCAGAGGCCUGGAAUGUUCUUACGGG